CCUACGGGGGGCAGCAGUGAGGAAUAUUGGUCAAUGGCCGAGAGGCUGAACCAGCCAAGUCGCGUGAGGGAAGACGGCCCUACGGGUUGUAAACCUCUUUUGUCGGGGAGCAAAGCGAACCACGUGUGGUUCAUUGAGAGUACCCGAAGAAAAAGCAUCGGCUAACUCCGUGCCAGCAGCCGCGGUAAUACGGAGGAUGCGAGCGUUAUCCGGAUUUAUUGGGUUUAAAGGGUGCGUAGGCGGAAUGCCAAGUCAGCGGUAAAAUCGCGGGGCUCAACCUCGCUCCGCCGUUGAAACUGGCGUUCUUGAGUGGGCGAGAAGUAUGCGGAAUGCGUGGUGUAGCGGUGAAAUGCAUAGAUAUCACGCAGAACCCCGAUUGCGAAGGCAGCAUGCCGGCUUCCGACUGACGCUGAAGCACGAAAGCGUGGGGAUCGAACAGGAUUAGAUACCCUAGUAGUC
rnacentral:rRNA from 1 species